rnacentral:tRNA from 1 species
UCCCUGGUGGUUCAGUGGUUAGAAUGCUCUGCUUCUACUGCAGAGGGCCUGGGUUCAAUACCUAGUCGGGGAA